rnacentral:rRNA from 1 species
GACAGAGGUGCCAAGCGUUAGGCGGAAUCACUGGGCUUAAAGCGUGUGUAGGUGGAUGUCUAAGUACCUUGUGAAAUCCCACGGCUCAACCGUGGAACUGCUUGGUAUACUGGAUGUCUUGAACCACUUAGGGGCUACCGGAACAAAUGGUGGAGCGGUGAAAUGCGUAGAUAUCAUUUGGAACGCCAAUGGUGAAAACAGGUAGCUGGGAGUGUGCUGACACUGAGACACGAAAGCCAGGGGAGCGAACGGG